rnacentral:rRNA from 1 species
GAUGAACGCUGGCGGCGUGCCUAAUACAUGCAAGUCGAGCGAACGGACGAGAAGCUUGCUUCUCUGAUGUUAGCGGCGGACGGGUGAGUAACACGUGGAUAACCUACCUAUAAGACUGGGAUAACUUCGGGAAACCGGAGCUAAUACCGGAUAAUAUUUUGAACCGCAUGGUUCAAAAGUGAAAGACGGUCUUGCUGUCACUUAUAGAUGGAUCCGCGCUGCAUUAGCUAGUUGGUAAGGUAACGGCUUACCAAGGCAACGAUGCAUAGCCGACCUGAGAGGGUGAUCGGCCACACUGGAACUGAGACACGGUCCAGACUCCUACGGGAGGCAGCAGUAGGGAAUCUUCCGCAAUGGGCGAAAGCCUGACGGAGCAACGCCGCGUGAGUGAUGAAGGUCUUCGGAUCGUAAAACUCUGUUAUUAGGGAAGAACAUAUGUGUAAGUAACUGUGCACAUCUUGACGGUACCUAAUCAGAAAGCCACGGCUAACUACGUGCCAGCAGCCGCGGUAAUACGUAGGUGGCAAGCGUUAUCCGGAAUUAUUGGGCGUAAAGCGCGCGUAGGCGGUUUUUUAAGUCUGAUGUGAAAGCCCACGGCUCAACCGUGGAGGGUCAUUGGAAACUGGAAAACUUGAGUGCAGAAGAGGAAAGUGGAAUUCCAUGUGUAGCGGUGAAAUGCGCAGAGAUAUGGAGGAACACCAGUGGCGAAGGCGACUUUCUGGUCUGUAACUGACGCUGAUGUGCGAAAGCGUGGGGAUCAAACAGGAUUAGAUACCCUGGUAGUCCACGCCGUAAACGAUGAGUGCUAAGUGUUAGGGGGUUUCCGCCCCUUAGUGCUGCAGCUAACGCAUUAAGCACUCCGCCUGGGGAGUACGACCGCAAGGUUGAAACUCAAAGGAAUUGACGGGGACCCGCACAAGCGGUGGAGCAUGUGGUUUAAUUCGAAGCAACGCGAAGGACCUUACCAAAUCUUGCCAUCCUUUGACAACUCUAGAGAUAGAGCCUUCCCCUUCGGGGGACAAAGUGACAGGUGGUGCAUGGUUGUCGUCAGCUCGUGUCGUGAGAUGUUGGGUUAAGUCCCGCAACGAGCGCAACCCUUAAGCUUAGUUGCCAUCAUUAAGUUGGGCACUCUAAGUUGACUGCCGGUGACAAACCGGAGGAAGGUGGGGAUGACGUCAAAUCAUCAUGCCCCUUAUGAUUUGGGCUACACACGUGCUACAAUGGACAAUACAAAGGGCAGCGAAACCGCGAGGUCAAGCAAAUCCCAUAAAGUUGUUCUCAGUUCGGAUUGUAGUCUGCAACUCGACUACAUGAAGCUGGAAUCGCUAGUAAUCGUAGAUCAGCAUGCUACGGUGAAUACGUUCCCGGGUCU